rfam:Otolemur garnettii contig126088, whole genome shotgun sequence.
GCCAGCCAUUAGUCCCAACUACUCGGGAGGCUGAGACAGGAGGAUCUCUUGAGUCCAGGGGUUCUAGGCUGUAGUGUGCUAUGCUGAUUGAGUGUCUGCACUAAGUUCGGUAUCAGUAUGUGACCUCCCAGGAGCUGGGGGCCACGAGGUUGCCUAAGGAGGGGUGAAGCAGCCCGGGUUGGAAGCAGAGCAGGUCAAAACUCCCAUGCUGAUCAGUAAAGGGAUCGUACCUGUGAAUAGCCACUGCACUCAGCCUGGGCAACAUAGUGAGACCCCAUCUCUA